ACUCUUUCUUCUGAUCGUCUAUAUGGGAAGCGGUUUGCUGUUUUGUUUGUUUCCCUGGUGGAGGUGUUUUCGAUGUUUAGAGUGGGGUGAGGUCUUGUAAAUGUGUGCUGGGUUGAGGUUUAAUAUACCCAGCUAUUAGUCAAUGCACAUGCUGAUCUUUACCGGCCUUUUGGAUUGCAGCUCAGAACAUGAAAAGGUUGAAAAAGAGGAGGAUCAAUCAUUAUAACUCCCUCACAUUCUUGGUCUCCAUGAAGCUGUCCUUGAUGAAAUCCAAGGAAAGAAUCCUGCAAAUAUAUAUAUAAUUUAUAUCUGCACUUCCCAGAAUGCAGCAAGAGGCAAACAGAUUUCCCUCAACAAAUUCCUCCAUAAUCACACCCAAUGUUGCUUUAAAAAGACAAGCUUAAUUUGGAAUAACUCCCUUUUUGCAGUCUCUUACUUAUUUUUCCCCAUUCUAUCCUAUAAAACAAGUCUGUCUUCACAUAAUUAAGGUUAAUUUCACUUUUAUAAA